rnacentral:rRNA from 1 species
AACGAACGCUGGCGGCAUGCCUAACACAUGCAAGUCGAACGAAGCCUUCGGGCUUAGUGGCGCACGGGUGCGUAACGCGUGGGAAUCUGCCCUUUGGUUCGGAAUAACAGUUGGAAACGACUGCUAAUACCGGAUGAUGACGAAAGUCCAAAGAUUUAUCGCCAGAGGAUGAGCCCGCGUAGGAUUAGCUAGUUGGUGUGGUAAAGGCGCACCAAAGCGACGAUCCUUAGCUGGUCUGAAAGGAUGAUCAGCCACACUGGGACUGAGACACGGCCCAGACUCCUACGGGAGGCAGAAGUGGGGAAUAUUGGACAAUGGGCGAAAGCCUGAUCCAGCAAUGCCGCGUGAGUGAUGAAGGCCCUAGGGUUGUAAAGCUCUUUUACCCGGGAUGAUAAUGACAGUACCGGGAGAAUAAGCCCCGGCUAACUCCGUGCCAGCAGCCGCCGUAA